GUCAAUAUUCUUAUCAGUAAGUGCUGUUGCUUGACAUUCUGGGAAUUAUUAGAAAGUAAUUUUUAUUUAUGCCCAUGAUACCGAAAGCCUAUAAAAACUUAUAACUAAACAAAUAGUUUGUUUUUUAUUAAGUGCGGCCGUUAUCGAAUCUGCUCCAAAACUUGGACAUGUUUUGUUUGAUCCAUUAUCGUAUGAAGCUAAACUCACAAGACGCUCAAAAGAAACAUAUGAUAGUCAAGACGAUUGGCUAGAGGAAAGCCUCCGAAUGCCAGCGAAGACAGAUAAAACGACAAAGAAACCUUGCCUGGGUUAUGAUUACGACGAAACUCUAUGCAAAACAGUCGACGAUAGAGUUAUUUGUGGUUACAAUAAAAAUAAAGGCAACAUUAGCGAUGUUAUUGCUGACUUAGGAAAUGGAUGUAGAAUUCGUGGUGGUAGACUAGAGUGUGGAUAUUUAGUAGGACCAUUCGAUAAUCCUAGACGACCACCAGCUAGAGAUACAGUAAAUAAUGGUGCCGAUAAUUCCUUAAGCCUUCGUUAUAGGCUGUCGAGAUCAUCAAUAUCAACCACUACACAAUUUACGAGUACUGUCAAAAAAAAUAAAGAUACAUUAAAUGUGACGACAUCAAAAGAAACAAAAAAUCCAAAAUUUAUUACCGAAAAUAUAACAAAUUCAAUUAUUUUGAACACAAAAAUUUUACCGGUUAUUACCUCAACUGUUAAAACGAGUUUGAUAAAUAAUUACACUGUUAAAACUGCGCCGCUAACUAACUUAUCGUCCAUAUCAAGAAGACAAUAUAAUGCUACAAAGUUAAGAAGGUUACUUUAUUAAGUAAAACUUCUUUACGCUGGCUUACAACUUCAUAUUAUAUAAUUACCUAUUUUAUAGCUUAAAAAAAUAUGAUAUGAAAAACAUCUGCUGAAUUAAAGCUGAAGAAACAGUACAAAAAAAUCUCUUGUAUAUUUUUUUGAUCAUUGAAUAGAAAGGUCUAUAAUAUUAUAUGCAAUUCUUGUACAUUGGUAUACUUGGUAUCUCGGAAACGUCACAAACGAUUUCAAACGGUCAAAUUUUAUAUUUAGAUAAGGCGUUUUAUGUUUAUCUAUAAUUACGUUUCGUAAAACGCAAUUUUUCACAGAAAAAAUAUAACUAAUUAUUAUUAGAGCCAUGCGAAGCUGGGUCGCCCAAGUACUUGACACAUUAAAUCGACAAAUUAAUAAAAAAAGUGCGAAGAAAAUAUUUUGU